rnacentral:rRNA from 1 species
GACGAACGCUGGCGGCGUGCUUAACACAUGCAAGUCGAGCGGUAAGGCCCUUUCGGGGGUACACGAGCGGCGAACGGGUGAGUAACACGUGGGUGACCUGCCUCUAGCUCUGGGAUAAGCCCGGGAAACUGGGUCUAAUACUGGAUAUGACUCCAUGACGCAUGUUGUGGGGUGGAAAGCCUUGUGCGGCUAGAGAUGGGCCCGCGGCCUAUCAGCUUGUUGGNGGGGUGAUGGCCUACCAAGGCGACGACGGGUAGCCGGCCUGAGAGGGCGACCGGCCACACUGGGACUGAGACACGGCCAGACUCCUACGGGAGGCAGCAGUGGGAAUCUUGCGCAAUGGGCGAAAGCCUGACGCAGCGACGCCGCGUGAGGAUGAC